rnacentral:lncRNA from 1 species
CAUGCAUUCAAUUAUGAAAAUUAGAAUCACAAUUCAUUAGAUAUGGUACAAAAUGACUUUCAUAUGUCUAAAGUCAUAAGGUUUUGUUUGAUUUUGUUCCUUUUCUAUUGGUCUUUUGUCUAUUUAACACUAUUUUGUAUAGCUUUCUUUUAGCUUUUAGCUUGAAUCUCAUCUUUUAAAUAUAAGUAAACAUAAUUUAUAGUAACAUCAGCACUGGUAUUUGGAUAUAAUAGGUGAAUGAGAGGUUAUGGAAACGUGUUGGUAGUUAGUGGCUCAAUGUAUAAUAUUUGGAUAGUUACUAUCUAAAUAAGCAUCAAUAAAGGGCACUACUGAGCGAACAAAUCAGCACUAGUAGAAGACAACCAAAAUACUUGAAAAGGUUAGAUGUGAUUCAAAAAUCUCAAGGAAACAAUCAGCAAGGAAUCGAACCGGUCUAACAGACCAACCAAACAUCACACCAGAAAAAAAAAAUCAAACAAAAUAUACCUAAGAAAAUCAUAGAUUCAAAGAUCUUCACAAACCACAAAUUCUAAAAAAUUCCCACAAACCCUAAAAAAUAAAGAACAUAAACAAAAAACCCAAAAAGAAAGAUAAGAAAUCAUAGCAGAAGAAAAUAAGAACGAGGGAUUUGAGAGAGAAAGAUAAAGGUACCGAGUCAAUGCAGAAACGAAGAGAACGAUUGAGCAGGGCGAACAACUUGAAGAAUCAGCGAGAGAUGCGUUCACAAUUGAGAGUCGAUAGGUUAGGAAUUACGUGAGUUGAGAGAGAUCGAGUGGAAAAGAUCGUAUUCAGAGAUGUUCAUUUGAGCUUUAGGGUUUUAUUUUCUUGUUCCCCUUUUAAAUUUGAGUUCUUAAAAUAUAUUAAUGUUUGUUUGUAG